AUUGAACGCUGGCGGCAUGCUUUACACAUGCAAGUCGAACGGUAGGGUAGCAAUGCCUGAGAGUGGCGAACGGGUGAGUAAUGUAUCGGAACGUGCCCAAGAGUGGGGGAUAGCCCGGCGAAAGCCGGAUUAAUACCGCAUACGAUCUAUGGAUGAAAACGGGGGACCGCAAGGCCUCGUGCUUCUGGAGCGGCCGAUAUCAGGUUAGGUAGUUGGUGGGGUAAAGGCUCACCAAGCCAACGAUCUGUAGCUGGUUUGAGAGAACGACCAGCCACACUGGGACUGAGACACGGCCCAGACUCCUACGGGAGGCAGCAGUGGGGAAUUUUGGACAAUGGGCGCAAGCCUGAUCCAGCAAUGCCGCGUGCAGGAUGAAGGCCUUCGGGUUGUAAACUGCUUUUGUACGGAGUGAAAAGGCUUCUUCUAAUACAGGAGGCUCAUGACGGUACCGUAAGAAUAAGCACCGGCUAACUACGUGCCAGCCGCCGCCGUAA
rnacentral:rRNA from 1 species